AUGUCGGCGGUGACUCCUUGUUACAAAGAGUACCAGCAAUCUAUGGUGACCAACCUUCACAUGGCACCAAGGCAUCCCAAUUCCUCCCCUUUCAAAGUGGUUCAGUUGAUAUCAUCACCUUUAAAGGCCCCAAAUUGCAGACAAUCAAAGAAAUCUGGAUCGGCCUUGAAUCAGGUUCAUGGAGAUUAG
rnacentral:rRNA from 1 species